AACGAACGCUGGCGGCAGGCAUAACACAUGCAAGUCGAGCGAGAACCCAGCAAUGGGGGACAGCGGCGAAAGGGACAGUAAUAUGUAGAUUAUCUGCCCUCAGGUCCGGGAUAGCUGCGGGAAACUGCAGGUAAUACCGGAUAACAUCUCCGGAUCAAAGGUGUGAUUCCGCCUGAGGAUGAGUCUGCAUCCUAUUAGCUAGUUGGUAGGGUAACGGCCUACCAAGGCUUUGAUGGGUAGCAGGUGUGAGAGCACGACCUGCGUCAUUGGGACUGAGACACUGCCCAGACACCUACGGGUGGCUGCAGUCGAGAAUCUUCGGCAAUGGGCGCAAGCCUGACCGAGCGACGCCGCGUGUGGGAUGAAGGCCUUCGGGUUGUAAACCACUGUCAGAGGGGAUGAAAUGCAGGUGGGUUCUCCCAUCUGUUUGACAUAUCCUCAGAGGAAGGACGGGCUAAGUUCGUGCCAGCAGCCGCAGUAACAC
rnacentral:rRNA from 1 species